UACGAAGGGGGCUAGCGUUGUUCGGAAUCACUGGGCGUAAAGCGCACGCAGGCGGAUCGUUAAGUCAGGGGUGAAAUCCCGAGGCUCAACCUCGGAACUGCCUUUGAUACUGGCGAUCUUUGAGUCCGGGAGAGGUGAGUGGAACUCCGAGUGUAGAGGUGAAAUUCGUAGAUAUUCGGAAGAACGCCAGUGGCGAAGGCGGCUCACUGGCCCGGUACUGACGCUCAUGUGCGAAAGCGUGGGGAGCAAACAGG
rnacentral:rRNA from 1 species